CAGUAGCCACGGGAACACCGAGGAUGCAAGCGUUAUCCGGAAUGAUUGGGCGUAAAGCGUCUAUAGGUGGCUUUUCAAGUCCGCCGUCAAAUCCCAGGGCUCAACCCUGGACAGGCGGUGGAAACUACCAAGCUGGAGUACGGUAGGGACAGAGGGAACUUCCGGUGGAGCGGUGAAAUGCGUUGAGAUCGGAAAGAACACCAACGGCGAAAGCACUCUGCUGGGCCGACACUGACACUGAGAGACGAAAGCUAGGGGAGCAAAUGGGAUUAGAUACCCCCGUAGUCCCUGUCUCUUAUAC
rnacentral:rRNA from 1 species